rnacentral:rRNA from 1 species
GACGAACGCUGGCGGCGUGCUUAACACAUGCAAGUCGAACGGAAAGGCCCUGCUUUUGUGGGGUGCUCGAGUGGCGAACGGGUGAGUAACACGUGAGUAACCUGCCCUUGACUUUGGGAUAACUUCAGGAAACUGGGGCUAAUACAGGAUAGGAGCUCCUGCUGCAUGGUGGGGGUUGGAAAGUUUCGGCGGUUGGGGAUGGACUCGCGGCUUAUCAGCUUGUUGGUGGGGUAGUGGCUUACCAAGGCUUUGACGGGUAGCCGGCCUGAGAGGGUGACCGGCCACAAUGGGACUGGGAUACGGCCCAGUCUCCUACGGGAGGCAGCAGUGGGAAGUAUUGCGCAAUGGGCCGAAGCGUGAGGCAGCAGCGCCGCGUGCGGGAUGACGGCCUUCGGGUUGUGAACCGCUUUCGCCUGUGACGAAGCGUGAGUGACGGUAAUGGGUAAAGAAGCACCGGCUAACUACGUG